CUGAUAGGAGGAGAAACUGAAGUUCCCCUUAUGUGCAGAAUAGGUGUGACAGUGGCAGUGUUACGUUCCCUACAUUGGACAGCCAGUGUGCCUCAACCCUGACCCUGGAGGGACCACUUCUCAGAGUGAGGGAGUCAUUCACAGGCAUGAGAGGGGCCAGUGUUUAUUUCCACUCAGUGCUUUUUCCUAA
rnacentral:sRNA from 1 species